UGGCUCCUGCAUGAUCAGGAUUCGGGGA
rnacentral:sRNA from 1 species